rnacentral:rRNA from 1 species
CACGUAGGGGGCAAGCGUUGUCCGGAUUUAUUGGGCGUAAAGAGCUCGUAGGCGGUUCGGUAAGUCGGGUGUGAAACCUCCAGGCUCAACCUGGAGUCGCCACUCGAUACUGCUGUGACUAGAGUCCGGUAGGGGAGCGUGGAAUUCCUGGUGUAGCGGUGAAAUGCGUAGAUAUCAAGAGGAACACCUGAGGUGAAGACGGGUUGCUGGGCCAACACUGACGCUGAGGCGCGAAAGCCAGGGGAGCAAACGGG